rnacentral:rRNA from 1 species
GACGUAGGGCGCGAGCGUUGUCCGGAUUUAUUGGGCGUAAAGAGCUCGUAGGCGGCUUGUCGCGUCGGCUGUGAAAACCCGCGGCUCAACUGUGGGCGGGCAGCUGAUACGGGCAGGCUGGAGUUCGGUAGGGGAGACUGGAAUUCCUGGUGUAGCGGUGAAAUGCGCAGAUAUCAGGAGGAACACCGGUGGCGAAGGCGGGUCUCUGGACAGUUCCUGACGCUGAGGCGCGAAGGCCAGGGGAGCAAACGGG